CCUCGCUCUGGGCGUCACUGCGCGCCCCGGCUAAGCGCGCCCCGGCAACCGUGCGAGACGCGCGCGCCCGCCGCCGCGGGGGGCUCCCGCCGCCGACCCGGGACUGGCGGGGAGGGAGGCCGGCGGAGGGGACGCCGCGCCGGAGCCGCUCCUCUGGAUGGCGACAGAGACGGCCUGGCGCGCCCGCAGCCCCGGGCACCCCGGGAGGACGGCCUGGCCGGGUGAAGUUUGCGGACUCGGGCCUUCCGGGGCUCCCUCCGCCGCCGCCGAGGCCUGGAAGGCUGAGGGUGGGGGCCAGACGUCUCCUAAGCCCAGGAGAUUCGCUCCCUAGUCCCGGAUGCUCGGAUGGCCCUGCUGCUUAGAGAGGCUCUGGCUCCUGCGGGCACCUGCAGCGGCGCCACCCGGAGUUCUCCCUUCUUGCAGGUUGGCAGCUAAUGGAACUCCUGCCCGGGACUCACAAGAUCUCCAUCCGGCACAGGGGCUGGGGCCUUUGAGCACCCCAGAGCUUCUUUUGGAGCCAGAGACCCUUUUCUGAGGAGCCAGUAGAGGGCCUGCAAGUCGGAUUGAGCAACCCCGAGUAGGAGCAUCCUCCCUUCAUCUUGAGGCCUGGUCCAGGGAGAUGACUGCAGAGGUUGGGGCUCCCGACAACUUCGGGAUGGUCACGCACCCCUUGCCUGUGGAUGUGCAGGGUGGGCAUGGGACCCUGGCAUGGAGGGUCUCCCUCGAUGGGAUUCUGUGGAGCCAACCGUUGAUGCCCAGGUCUCUACCUUUACCGCUUCAUUGCUUCCACCGAAGCCUUUUAUCCUGCUAAAAAGGACGUGGCUUUUGAAGUGUGACAGCUUCCAUUUCAUCCCGUCCAUGCCGAACUCCUGCACCAGACGUGCCUUCACUCAGCCUCUAUUUCUUGAGCGCCUACUUGGGCCAGACACUGGGCCGGGGAAAGCCAACAUGACAGAGUUUCUGUCCCCUGGAAAGCGGCAGUCAGUUUGGGAAGCAGACGAGGAAACAAUUCCAGUGCAGUGUGGCUGCCGUCACGAAGGGAGGCAGUGGAGAGCGAGGAGGGAGCAUUUACCCUGAAUCAUGCCCUGGAGCACAGCAAGGUGUGUGCCGGGGAGGGCUUCCGGUGGGCUGCUGUCCACACCUUUUUUGUCCCAUCCUUAAGACAGACACACAGACAUGCACAUACAUAUGCACAUGCACACUCGCGAACACACAUGCGCACACACGUGAACACAUGCACAGACAUGUUUGAAGCGAAUGUUUCCGGAGCAGCAUUUAGCCCAGCAAUACUCUGAUGUUCUCUAUUCCAUCCUAAUCCAUCUUCGAAAUGCUGGUUGCCCACCCAAUAAUUUGGUUUACAGUCAUUUUCUGUUUUAAAAAUAUGGUUCGAAGAGAGAUGCCAUCUACCUUGACUUUGGGAGGGUACACUGGAGCCUUCCUGCCAAGGACAGGGGCCGUGGUGACAGUGGGGUGGCUGGGGAGGGUUCCUAAGCAGAGGAAAAGGGGUGCAGUGCGGUCCACGGCCUGCUGUAUGCGGGAACUCAGACACCGAGGUUUUUGCAGCCUCAACAUUAGGGCUACGGCAGGAAACCCUGGGCUAUGGGAACGUAGUGGCUGGUGCAUUGCGUGCUGAAAAUUUAAAAAAAAAAAAGGGAAUGAAAGGGGAACUCUUGGUGCUUGUGACUUGGAGUCCAGAAUGGUUAAGAGUCUGAAACCUGGUGAUGCUGGAAAAGGUGAAUUCUCCACCCUGGUUAUAAGUAGAGGGAGCCGAGGAGGUGUGGGGUCAGAGAUCAGACUGAAGAGGUGGGGCCUCCCGUGGGACGGCAACCUCGAUAUCAUUACAGAGACGCCACCCCAGGCAGCCCGAAGGCAAAGGCAGGCACCUGGUCCAGCCCCAUCCCGGCCGCGUUUCCAGAGGCCUGGAGAGAGAGAGAGAGAGACCACGAUGGAAAUUGAGGAUGGGGCUGAGCGCAGCCUGAAUUCUGUUGCUAGGGAACAGAAAGCUCCGUUCUGGAUCCCAACACGCGCUGCAGAUUGACGAUUUUUUGCUGUUGUUGAUGGGCUGUUUUUGAUUACUAGCUGGAACUGACAGGAGUUUGGAUUUCGAACCCCAAAUAAGUCUAUUAAAUAAUCACAGCAUCACCUUCCCUCCUUUCCAAAAGCACAGGGGUGGCAAUCGUUCAACCCUUGAGGGAGUCCUUGGCUCUCAACCCACACCAAGCCACCGGUCCUGGGAUGCUUCAGAGGCCUGGCCCAUGGAAGGGGUGCCCCGCACGGGGGGUGCCCAGGUUGCCUGAGGAGGACAAUAGCAAGGGGCGUCACCCAGAGAGGAGGGGUGACUGACCAGCGUGCAGACCCCGGCACGUAUUGCAGUCAGGUGGCGUCCUCGCUGCCCUCCUGGGGACAUGAGUCCACUGCUGGCUGUGUUCUGCUGUGGUCGGUGGGGGUGGGUUGUGGUUCUCUCCUCCGUCCACUCCUCUGCAGUGAGUGUGUCUUAUAUUUGCCAUUAGGUUGCAGGUGCCCAACUGACCAAGGGGUCCCCGAGAUCCUGAAUUUGGAGCUGGAUGUUUUCACAGGGUGAGAUGUCAGGAUGUCCCGCUGAUACAGUGGGAGAAAAAUGUAUUUUAUGCGAGGCCAGCACUGUCCCCUAAAGGAAGCGCACAAGCGUCCGAACGGCACGGGGAGGCUGUAGCCGGCUGCUGUGCCUGUUUGCCCCUGGAUCUGUGCCACCUUCUGAAAACAACUGCAGGCUUUCACCUUGCACACACGUAUCCCACGUGCAUUGUAUCAAGAGCUUACACUGACAGCUGGGGAGGACCCAGGUUGGCAGAGGGAGUUGAGCCAGCUUGGCAGUGGCUGGGAAAAUCCAGGUGACAGCCAGGGUGGCUAGCUUCUCAGGAGCGGCUGUGAGGACAGGGAUGGGGGGCUUGGCAGCUCUCCAGGAAGUACAGCUGAUGAGCUGUGGGGACUCUGGAGUGGUGAGCAUGGCAUAGAUGUCCCAAGAGACGCCCCAGGCUUCUGGCUGCAGAACCUAGGCAUGGCUGAGUGUAGUGGUUCACGCCCAUAAUUCUAGCACUUUGGCAGGCCAGAAUGAGAGAGUAGGCCAGGAUGUGAGGGUAACUUGAGGCCAGGAGUUCAAGACCAGCCUGGGCAACACAGCAGGACCCCAUAUCUACAAAAAAAUGAAAGUUAGACAGCAUGGUGGUGCACACCUGUAGUCCCAGCUACUCAGGAUGUUGAGGUGAGAGGAUUGCUUGAGCCCAGGGGUUCAAGGCUGCAGUGAGCUCUGAUUGUAUAACUGCAUUCUGGCCUGGGUGACAGAGGAGACCCUGUCAGGAAAGCAGGAAGGAAGGAAGGAAGGGAGGGAGGGAGGAAGGGAGGAAGGAGGGAAGGAAAAGAAGGAAGGAAAGCAGGAAGGGAGGGAGGAAGGGAAGGAAGAGAGGAAGGAAACACAGGGAUGAAUGAAGAAGGGAGGGAGGAAGGGGAGGGGAGAAAAGGGAGGGAGGGAAAGAGGAAGGGAGGCAGGCAGAACAGGGAACUAGCAGGGAUGGCCAUUGAGAUGGGCCCUGCCAGCUGCUGGGGACGGCUCUGAACCCUAGUGAGCUCAGGCAGUUCCUCAGCCAGCUUCCGUGCCACAGGAAAGACAGCACAAAAGGCCAGAAGAUGCACAUCGGGAAGUCGAGGCCCAGCAGGCACAAACUGUGUGCCUGCGAGGACAGAGCCCACCUGGCUGCUGAAUUCUCAGCCCUGAAAACAGUGCUUUGCAGAGUUGGUAAAUGGCAUGAAUGCGUUAUUUAAUGAUAAUUAUCCAUGGUGUUGAUCCCGUGUAGUAAUAACAAGCAGUAUUGAUACAUCCCAUACUACGGGCCCGGCGCCAGUCCAGGGGCUGCGUAUACUCACUCACUUCAUCUUCAUAACAGUCGACACCUGGAUUGAAGGACCUGGAACCUGGGCAUGGGGGAGAGAAGGAAAUUGCCCUGGGAUUUUUAGGCAGCCAUGGGAGCUGAGGUUGGGACCCAGGUAGUCUGCACCAGAGAACCUGCUCUGAGGACUGUGCUCACGACCUCUCAUCACCAAAUCAUGUUCAUUAAAAAAAUGCAAAGUAGAGGGCUGGGCACGGUGGUUCAUACCUAUAAUCCCAGCACUGGGAGGACGAGGCAGGCAGAUCACCCGAGGUCGGGAGUUCGAGGCCAGCCUGACCAACAUGGCGAAACCCCAUCUCUGCUAAAAAUACAAAAAAAAAUUGGCCUGGCGUGGUGGUGCACGCCUAUAAUCUCAGCUACACAGAAGGCUGAGGCAGGAGAAUCACUUGAACCUGGGAGGCACAGGUUGUGCUGAGCGGAGAUGGGGCCACUGCACUCCGGCCUGGCAACAAGAGCGAAACUCCUAUCUCAAAAAACAAAAAAAAAGCAAAAUCGAGAGACAAGCAAAAGGAGCACCGAAUGUCCCUCAGUUCUGCCACUCUGAGUUCACCAUGUUGAGCGUUUGGUUCACGUCUCCCAUAUCCUUUCUCAUGUACACAUUCAGCCGGUAAAUAUUUCGCAGACAGGUUUCCUAGGACACAGUGAAUAUCAUAUCCUUCCAGAACAUGACGUCUUCUGGCAGCCUGAAAUUCUGCGACACAUAAAUACUGCCAUUUAUUCAAUCAACGUUGAUUUUUGGACAUGGUGACCAUUUCUAGCGUUUGGGAAACACUUCAGAAAUGAACGCGCUUCUACUGAAAUCAUUUUCUAUAUUUAUGGUUAUUUACGGAAAAACAUUACAGAGCUGGGACCGUUAGGUGCAAAUAAGGGCAUCGUUUUCAGGCCUCGCUCUGUAGCGCCAAACGAAUUCCCAAAAAGAUUGAUAUUAAUUUGUACCCCUACGGACAGCACGUGGGAGGUUCCCCUGCGCCCGUCUGUUCACGCCGGCCUGGGAGUGAGCCGGCCUGGGAGUGAGCCGGCCUGGGAGUCUCGGACAGUUUUGCCCGUGGGAAGAAAUCUCACUGCUGUUUUCAUGGCAUUUGUCUAAUAAGGAUCACCAUUUUUAUGUAUGCCGUCUCUGCGCCGUUGCAGAUCAGCUGUUUAGAUUCCUUUCCAAGUUUUCUCUUAGUGGGCUUGUCUUUUAUUCUCUAUCAGCAAGAACUCCUUCAGUGUAUUUGUGGGAUAUCUUCCUUUUACUUGGGAGGUUUUAAAACAGAGAGAAGCAGAAACGAGAAUAUCAUAACGUAACACUAUUGUCAUAAUAAUGUUGCAAAUCACGUUCUCAGCUGUCUUUGUUAAAGUGUCUCGUGUCCAUUUCUUCUCCUGGAGGGUCACGUAUGUUGCCAGUGGGAGCGUGACAGGAGGGCCUCAUGUUUUCUGUCAUGGAGGUGUGUUGAUGGGGAUUCUUCAGGGAGACAGAACCAAGAGGCAGUGUGUGUGUGCGUGUGUGUGUGUGUGUGUGUGUGUCUGUACAGUGGCGCAUCUCUUACGAUGGGAAUAUAUUCUGAGAAAUGCGGUGUGAGGCGACUCUGUCGUGUGAACUGGUACUCAGAUCAAGACGGUGGCCUGCCACACACCCAGGCAAUAUGGUAGGUACAGGCUGCUGCUCCUGGGCUGCAAACCUGCACCGUGUGUACUGAGUAGGCGAUUGUGACACUAUAGAUUUAUCUAUCGAAACGUAGAAAAGGUAUAGAGUAUACGGUAAUGUAAUCUUUUUUGACAAGGAAUCUUGUUCUGCCGCCCAGGCUGUAGUGCAGUGGCACGAUCUCGGCUCCCUGCAACCUCCGCCUCCUGGGUUCAAGCUUUCCUUCCUGCCUCGGCCUCCUGCAUAGUUGGGACUACAGGCACCCACUACCACACCCAGAUAAUUUUUUUUUUUUAAGACAGAGUCUUGCUCUGUUGCCCAGGCUGGAGUGCAAUGGUGCAAUCUCGGCUCACUGCAACCUCUGCCUCCUGAGUUCAAGCGAUUCUCCCGCCUCAGCUCCUGAGUGGCUGGGACUGCAGGCGCACGCCGCCACACAUGGCUAAUUUUUUUGUAUUUUAGUAGUGAUGGGGUUUCAACAUGUUGCCCAGGCUGGUCUCAAACUCCUGAGCUCAGGCAAUCUGCCUGCCUCGGCCUCUCAAAGUGCUGGUAUUACAGGCGUGUGCCACCGCACCAGACCUAAUUUUUGUAUUUUUCAGUAGAGAUGGGGUUUUGCCAUUUCAGCUAGUCUGGCCUCAAACUCGUGACUUCAGGUGAUCUGCCCACCGUGGCCUCCCAAAGUACUGGGAUUACAAGCGUGAGCCACCACACCCGGUCAGUAUUAUAAUCUUUUUUUUUUUUUUUUUUUGAGACGGAGUUUUGCUCUUGUUACCCAGGCUGGAGUGCAAUGGUGCGAUCUCGGCCCACUGCAACCUCUGCCUUCUGGGUUCAGGCAAUUCUCCUGCCUCAGCCUCCUGAGUAGCUGGGAUUACAGGCACGCACCACUGUGCCCAGCUAAUUUUUUGUAUUUUUAGUAGAGACGGGGUUUCACCAUGUUGACCAGGAUGGUCUCGAUCUCUUGACCUCGUGAUCCACCCGUCUCAGCCUCCCUCUCUUGACCUCGUGAUCCACCCGUCUCAGCCUCCCCAGUAUUGUAAUCUUAUGGGACCGCCAUCAUACCUAAGGUUCACUGUGGACCUCAACAUCAUCAUUCAGCACGUGACUACUUGGAAAGAGAGAGAGAGGGCGAGAUUAACUGGCUCGUGGAACUGUGGGACCUUGCAGGGCAGGCCAGCAGCUGAAGACCCAGGAGGGAGCUGCUGGUGCAGCUCAAGUCUGAAGGCAUCCUGUGAGCAGAACGUCCUCUCCUGUGGGUGGUCUCAGUCCGCUUUCUCUUAAGGCUUCAACCGAUUGGACAAGCCCACCCACGUUACGGCAGGUGAUGUGCUUUACUCAGAGUCUACGGAUUUAAAUGUUAGGCACAUCUAACAAAUACCUUCACAUUCACAUCUAGACCGGCGUUUGACCAAGCAACUGGCAGCCGUGGCCUAGCCAAGGUGACUCAUAAAACUAGCCAUCGUAGGAGGCGUGACGGGCACACAACAACGCACGUAUCUAAAAUGGACAAUUCGGUAAGUUUUGAUGUAUGCACAUCCCAGUGGAAGCAUCACCACCAUGAAGACAGUGAACACAUCCGUGCCAUCACCUGCAGCCAUCCUUUGCCGUCUGUCAUUCCUCCAUCCCAGGAAACUAUGGACUCUGUCACUACACAUAGGUUAGAAUUUUCUAGAAGUUUGUAAACAAUGGAAUUAUCCAGUAUAUACUCCUUUUUUCUGGCUUCUGUGAUUCAGCGUACUGAUUCUGAGGCACAUCCAUGCGACUGCAUUUAUCCCAAAUAGUUCAUUCCUUUCCAUUGCCGAUACCGUACUAUCGUGGGGAUUUGCCAGGUGAACUCACCUGUGCUGGACACUGGGUUGUUCGCUGUGUAGACCAUUACAGAUAAAGCUGCUGUGGACGUUUGUGAACCAGGAUUUAUAAGACCACACACUUUCUUUUUUUGCGGGGGUACAGCAAGGGGUUGAAAAGGCUGGAUCAGAUGAUAGGCAUUCAUUUAACUUGUCAUGGAACCGCCACACUCCUUCACAGCCUGACCGCACCAUCUGACAUGUGCCCCGGCCCUGUGUGAGGGCUCCCGCUGCUGUGUAUUUCUGCCAUGUCCUGGCACGCUUGGUCUUUCUGACUAUACUUGUCUAAUGGGUAAGAGGUACUAUCUCAUAGGAUAUUAAUUUGUUUUCCUCUAAUGACUAAUGAUGUUAAGAAUUAUCUCGGCCGGGCGCGGUGGCUCACGCCUGUAAUCCCAGCACUUUGGGAGGCCGAGGCAGGUGGAUCACGAGGUCAAGAGAUCGAGACCAUCCUGGCCAACAAGGUGAAACCCCAUCUCUACUAAAAAUACAAGAAUUAGCUGAGCAUGGUGGCGCGUGCCUGUAAUCCCAGCUACUCAGGAGGCUGAGGCAGGAGAAUUGCCUGAACCCAGGAGGCGGAGGUUGCGGUGAGCCGAGAUCGCGCCAUUGCACUCCAGCCUGGGUAACAAAAGCGAAACUCCGUCUCAAAAAAAAAAAAAAAGAAUUAUUUCAUGUAUGUUUAUAUGCAUCUUCUGUGGUGAAGUACCCAGUUUUCAUUUUUCUUGAUUUCUGAGAUUUCUUUAUAUGUUCUAGACAUAAGUCCUUACGAGGCGUAUAAUUUCCAAAUAUUUUUCCCAGUCUGUGAUCUGUCACUUCAAUCUCCUAAUGAUGUCAUUUAAAGAGUGUGCGUUUUUAAUUUUCACAAAUUUCAGUUUAUCAGUUUCUUCUUCUAUGGACUGCAUCUUUUCGUGUCGUAUUUACAAAAUGUACACCUAGCCCAAGUUCGUGACAUUUUCAGGUUGUUUACUUCUGUAAGUCUCACGGUUGCAGGUUUUACGGUUAGAUCUGUGACUCCUUUCGAGCAAAUGGUUGUCAUGUUGUGAGUUGGAGACACAGGCUGGAUUUUUUGAAUGUGGAUUUUCAUUUGUCUUAGCAUAAUUGGUCAGAAAUAUUAUUCUUUCUCCACCAAAUUGAUUCCGCGUCUUUGUCAAUCAUCAGUUGCCAAUAGUUGCAUGUGUCUCUUUCUGAACUCUGCUCCUUGUUGGCGGUUUCAGAAAAUUGAUUGUCUUUGUGUAGUUUUCUUCAUGUUUCUUGUAUCUGGGAUUCUUUGAGUCUCUUGGAUCUGUGCAUUCAUAAUUGUCGUCAAAGUUGGAAAUAUUUCAGCCAUUAUUUCUUCAGUUUUUCUGUUUCCACCCCCAGUGACUCCCAGUACACACGAUCUGAAGUUAUAGCUUAACAAUGCACUGCUUAUUUUUAAGAUUUCCCUCUCUCUUUCCUUUUGAAUAGUUUAUGUUGUGAGAUCUUCAAAUCCAUUAACCUUUACUUCUGCAGUUUAUAAUCUACCAUUAAUCCCAAGAGUGUAGUUUUCAGCUCAGACACUAUGCUUUUUAUUUCUAAAAUUUCAAUUUAUGUCUUUUUAGAUGUUGCAUGUCUCUACUUGGCUUUGUGAAUAUAUGGAUUACUGUUUCCAUAACUUUAAAGAUGCCUUUUGCUGCUAAUUCUAACAUCUUGUGUCAGUCCUGGGUUGGCCUCAGUUGAUUGAUUUAUGUUUUCGAGUGCUGAAAUUUCCUGCUUUAUGGCAUUCUUGGUGAUUUUUGAUUGGGCCUCAGACAACGUGAGUUUUGCUUGUCGAAUGCUGGGCAUUUAAAAUUUUUUGUUAAUAUUCUUGGGUCAUGUUCUUGGUUGCAGUUAAUUCAUUUGGGAGCAGUUUGAUGGUUUGGGGUCUUACUUUUUGAGAUGUUCGCGGGGAGCAGAGCAGUAUGGAGCAUAGGGCUCAUUCUUCCCCGAAUUCUGGAUGCUCUACCCAUGGCCUCAUGAACUUCCACUUCUUAUCUUCUCAUUAACGGGCACAGGCACAAUUCCUGGCCCUGUGUUCACAAGUGGGACGAAUACACCGAAUUCUUCUGGGUGGUUCUUUCUCUGGCCUGGGGUGGUUGGUUGUGUGCACCGAGGAGUUCUCACUCGAAUGCUUGAAGACGGUCCCAUGCAGGACUCCACAUUCUUCUCUCUGGAUAGAUUUCACUUAUGAGGUAUGCUGUAGAUGAAUGCUAGGCCUCUUUGCCUCUUUGCACAGAGUCCAGCAGGCCCUUCCUAGCUUCCUUCUCCCUGCCCUGAAGCCUGGGGCCUCUUUCCAGGCAGUCAUCUGGGGCACCUGGGGCCUCUUUCCAGGAAGUGAGCUCCCCGACCCGAAACCUGGGGCCUCUUUCCAGGAAGUGAGUUCCCCGCCCUGAAACCUGGGGCCUCUUUCCAGGAAGUGAGCUCCCCGCCCCGAAACCUGGGGCCUCUUUCCAGGAAGUGAGUUCCCCGUCUGGAAACCUGGGGCCUCUUUCCAGGCAGUCAUCUGGGGCACCUGGGGCCUCUUUCCAGGAAGUGAGCUCCCCGCCCUGAAACCUGGGGCCUCUUUCCAGGCAGUCAUCGGGGCAGCCUGGCUUCUUCCCGUCUUUCAGGAAUCACUGUCCUCCAUCGCCUGAUGUUCAGCAUCUUUGAAACCAUCGUUUCAGGUAUUUGGUCCAUUUUUUUUGGUCGUUUUAGGUGGGAGGGAAUAUUCAGUCGCUUCUAUUUCGUCAGUUUUGGAAGCAAUAAUUUUGGUAUUUUUUAUAAUAAAAAAUGUUUUACCCUGUGAAAUAUGAGAUAAAAUAGUCAUACCUUCAGUUCCUUGGAAUUCAAAGGAUGGAGCAGAGCUGAGUGCCAUCCCCUGCGAGGGGCCACAGCCCCCAUCCUCAGUGUCUUCCCAGGGCUAAGGACAGUCCUCAUGGGUGUGACAGGUCCCUCCACAAGGAGCAUUGGAAGUGCAUGUGGCAUUGUCUGCUCAGCUUCAGAGCAGGAGAUGCUGGCUGGUUCCAGAUGGAUGGGCAGGCAUUCCUGCGGCAGGCAGGGAGGGGGAGGCGGGGGAGG